rnacentral:rRNA from 1 species
CCGGUUGAUCCUGCCGGACCUGACUGCUAUCGGAUUGGUACUAAGCCAUGCGAGUCAUUGUAGCAAUACAAGGCGGACGGCUCAGUAACACGUAGUCAACCUAACUCGUGGACGUGGAUAACCUCGGGAAACUGAGAAUAAACCACGAUAGAUCAUAGUGCCUGGAAUGGCUUAUGGUCCAAACAGUUUACUGCCAUGGGAUGGGACUGCGGCCUAUCAGCUUGUUGGUGAGGUAAUGGCCCACCAAGGCGAUUACAGGUACGGGCUCUGAGAGNAGAAGCCCGGAGAUGGGUACUGAGACACGGACCCAGGCCCUAUGGGGCGCAGCAGGCGAGAAACCUUAGCAAUGUGCGAAAGCACGACUGGGUCAGUCCGAGUGAUUCCUGAUAAAGGAGUCUUUUGCUUGUCCUAAAAGCACAGGUGAAUAAGGGGUGGGCAAGUCUGGUGUCAGCCGCCGCGGUAAUACCAGCACCUCGAGUGGUCAGGACGUUUAUUGGGCCUAAAGCAUCCGUAGCCGGCUCUGCAAGUCUUCGGUUAAAUCCACCUGCUCAACAGAUGGGCCGCUGGAGAUACUACAGAGCUAGGGAGUGGGAGAGGCAGACGGUAUUCAGUGGGUAGGGGUAAAAUCCUCUGAUCCAUUGAGGACCACCAGUGGCGAAGGCGGUCUGCCAGAACACGUUCGACGGUGAGGGAUGAAAGCUGGGGGAGCAAACCGGAUUGGAUACCCGGGUAGUCCCAGCUGUAAACGAUGCAAACUCGGUGAUGCAUUGGCUUAUGGCCAAUGCAGUGCCGCAGGGAAGCCGUUAAGUUUGCCGCCUGGGAAGUACGGACGCAAGUCUGAAACUUAAAGGAAUUGGCGGGGGAGCACCACAAGGGGUGAAGCCUGCGGUUCAAUUGGAUUCAACGCCGGA